UCUACGGGGUGCAGCAGUGGGGAAUAUUGGACAAUGGGCGAAAGCCUGAUCCAGCCAUGCCGCGUGUGUGAAGAAGGCCUUCGGGUUGUAAAGCACUUUCAGUGGGGAAGAAAGCCUUGGGGCUAAUACCCUCGAGGAAGGACAUCACCCACAGAAGAAGCACCGGCUAACUCCGGCCAGCAGCCGCGGUAAUACGGAGGGUGCGAGCGUUAAUCGGAAUUACUGGGCGUAAAGCGCGCGUAGGCGGUCUGAUAAGCCGGUUGUGAAAGCCCCGGGCUCAACCUGGGAACGGCAUCCGGAACUGUCAGGCUAGAGUGCAGGAGAGGAAGGUAGAAUUCCCGGUGUAGCGGUGAAAUGCGUAGAGAUCGGGAGGAAUACCAGUGGCGAAGGCGGCCUUCUGGACUGACACUGACGCUGAGGUGCGAAAGCGUGGGUAGCAAACAGGAUUAGAUACCCUAGUAGUC
rnacentral:rRNA from 1 species